rnacentral:rRNA from 1 species
CACGUAGGGGGCAAGCGUUGUCCGGAUUUAUUGGGCGUAAAGAGCUCGUAGGUGGUUCGGUAAGUCGGGUGUGAAACCUCCAGGCUCAACCUGGAGACGCCACCUGAUACUGCUGUGACUGGAGUCCGGUAGGGGAGCGUGGAAUUCCUGGUGUAGCGGUGAAAUGCGCAGAUAUCGGGAGGAACACCUGUGGCGAAAGCGGCUCACUGGACCACAACUGACGCUGAGGCGCGAAAGCUAGGGGAGCAAACGGGG